CAGCUGCUGGGGGCCGUGACGUCACAGGUCCUCCUGCCAGCACAACGUUCCAUUGAGAGCGCGUGCUCCGUCGAGCACAUGGGCAACAAGCCGCCGAGCUCGGAGCGGCAGCGGCGGCCUGCGCUGCUCUCCCCCCCCCCCAACUCGGCUCUUGAUUUUGCAUUUUAUAUGUGCAUCGGAUUUAUAUUAUAUUUUUUUAUUUUAUUUUUGAACCACACACAUGCACAUCUAAGGAAAGGGGCAUCAUCCGCGGCCGGAAACGGCCAGCAACUUUGCAAAACGUUUCGGGAUUUGUUGUUGGGGGAAAGGAGACUUGCGUGGCCUGCGGGGAAAAGAUGCGUGGUCUCAGUCUUGAUUUCUGGAGCGAUCCAAUAGAAGCAGCAGCAGCCUUUCCAACAUCUUGUUCCUUCCGUUCAAGGACUCCCAAGGCCGUGGGACUUUCUUGAGCUACCCAAAGACUCCGGAGAAUGCCAGCUGCGGACGAAAUAUGUGCGUGGGGAGGGACGAAAGAUUUUGGCUGUUCCUGUGCCCCCCCUCCCCUCAUUCUGGAUGUUCAUACCAAGAUAACAUUGCUGAAGAUGGAUUAUAUCCCCUGCUAUCAAUGGAAUAUGCAUAUUUUUUUUUGGUUAAUUUUUUUAAAAAAUGUGUGUGGAUGCUGGGGGGAAAGCCCCGCCAAUAUUCUGAACAUGAGACUCCCUGCUCUACAGUUUCCCAUUGGGUCAAGUAUGCUACCCAGGUGUGGUGGCCAAGUCGAAGCUAGCAGCGUCUUCCAUUGAGGAAAGUAUUUAUGGAGCCUUGCGGAUAUUCAUCGGUUGUUCCUGGAGACGAGAAGAAUUUUGCAUGGGUGUUCAGCGUUUGGUGGUUGUGGUUGUUUUCUUCAAGAAAAUAUAUUAUUAAUGGUCAUUAUUUGCUAAGAGAAGUGGGGCCUCCCAAAGGCAUCACAGUGAGCUGCUGGCUGGAGACGUCAAGAAGGCAAAGAAGGGAACUCUUGAAAUCCCACCCAAAGGAGAAAUCGGAAAACUUAUCAAGGGUGGUGACAGGGAAAGCGGAAAAGUGCGUGUAACAGAAAUGACAGAGGACUCAGAAGCACCUGUGUGAAUUUAGAGGCCCUCGCCAAACCAGCGAGCAAAGAUUAUCCUUGCAGGUAACAGAAUCUGAACCCUCCUCCUUUAUAUGGCGCAUCUCUAUUCCCCACACCUGGGGCUAGAUGCAUACCUUUUGUCAGAUUAUAGUGCUGCCUCUGUUAACAUUUUUUGUUUGCCCCCUUUGCCCAGAUGCUUAAGGCACCAGACAUGUCCUUCACCCUCAUUUUAUCCUCUCUGUGUUUUUCAAAUAAAUAGCCCCCCGCCCCGAUCAACGCCUCACCUUAACGUACACAGCCACGAUCAUUCUCCUAUGUGCUGUCUUGUUUGGAAAUACAGUCGUACCUCGGGUUGCGAACAACUCGGGUUACAAACUGCGCAAACCCGGAAGUGUUUUCGCCGCGUGUGUGUGCGCAGAAGCAGCAUGCGCGAAAAUAGCGCUUUGCGCAUGCGCAAAACGGUGGUUUGGGCCUUUUUCGGGUUACAAACUUUUCGGGUUACGAACUGCAACCCAGAACAGAUCGCGUUCGUAACCCGAGGUACCACUGUAUUCUUAUAUCCAACCAACCAAACAAAUAAGGCCACUAUAGACACCUGGAGCUUGAAGAAGAAAAAAAAGUUCCCUCGGUAAGGCAGAUUUUGAAUGGGCCUGGGGUCUUUCGAAAAAGUAGCGUUGAUAGAUAACACACCCUUUUUCUCCUGUUUGUCUUUAGCGCAGGCUGACCAAUGUAGCUGCAGUUUUGCACAGCCGCCGCUCACAAUUUUAAGGCUGCCAUGUCUUCCAGAAGCAUUUUUCA